GUAGUCCUGGCUGUAAACGAUGUCGACUUGGAGGUUGUGCCCUUGAGGCGUGGCUUCCGGAGCUAACGCGUUAAGUCGACCGCCUGGGGAGUACGGCCGCAAGGUUAAAACUCAAAUGAAUUGACGGGGGCCCGCACAAGCGGUGGAGCAUGUGGUUUAAUUCGAUGCAACGCGAAGAACCUUACCUGGUCUUGACAUCCACGGAAGUUUUCAGAGAUGAGAAUGUGCCUUCGGGAACCGUGAGACAGGUGCUGCAUGGCUGUCGUCAGCUCGUGUUGUGAAAUGUUGAGUUAAGUCCCGCAACGAGCGCAACCCUUAUCCUUUGUUGCCAGCGGUCCGGCCGGGAACUCAAAGGAGACUGCCAGUGAUAAACUGGAGGAAGGUGGGGAUGACGUCAAGUCAUCAUGGCCCUUACGACCAGGGCUACACACGUGCUACAAUGGCGCAUACAAAGAGAAGCGACCUCGCGAGAGCAAGCGGACCUCAUAAAGUGCGUCGUAGUCCGGAUUGGAGUCUGCAACUCGACUCCAUGAAGUCGGAAUCGCUAGUAAUCGUGGAUCAGAAUGCCACGGUGAAUACGUUCCCGGGCCUUGUACACACCGCCCGUCACACCAUGGGAGUGGGUUGCAAAAGAAGUAGGUAGCUUAACCUUCGGGAGGGCGCUUACCACUUUGUGAUUCAUGACUGGGGUGAAGUCGUAACAAGGUAACCGUAGGGGAACCUGCGGCUGGAUCACCUCC
rnacentral:rRNA from 1 species